CAGCCGCCGCGGUAAAACCAGCACCUCAAGUGGUCGGGAUGAUUAUUGGGCCUAAAGCAUCCGUAGCCGGCUCUGUAAGUUUUCGGUUAAAUCUGUACGCUUAACGUACAGGCUGCCGGGAAUACUGCAGAGCUAGGGAGUGGGAGAGGUAGACGGUACUCGGUAGGAAGGGGUAAAAUCCUUUGAUCUAUUGAUGACCACCUGUGGCGAAGGCGGUCUACCAGAACACGUCCGACGGUGGGGGAUGAAAGCUGGGGGAGCAAACCGGAUUAGAUACCCAGGUAGUCCCAGCUGUAAACUAUGCAAACUCAGUGAUGCAUUGGCUUGUGGCCAAUGCAGUGCUGCAGGGAAGCCGUUAAGUUUGCCGCCUGGGAAGUACGUACGCAAGUAUGAAACUUAAAGGAAUUGGCGGGGGAGCAC
rnacentral:rRNA from 2 species